AUUGAACGCUGGCGGCAUGCUUUACACAUGCAAGUCGAACGGUAACAGGUCUUCGGAUGCUGACGAGUGGCGAACGGGUGAGUAAUGCAUCGGAACGUGCCCAGUCGUGGGGGAUAACGCAGCGAAAGCUGUGCUAAUACCGCAUACGAUCUAUGGAUGAAAGCGGGGGACUCGCAAGAGCCUCGCGCGAUUGGAGCGGCCGAUAUCAGAUUAGGUAGUUGGUGGGGUAAAGGCCCACCAAGCCGACGAUCUGUAGCUGGUCUGAGAGGACGACCAGCCACACUGGGACUGAGACACGGCCCAGACUCCUACGGGAGGCAGCAGUGGGGAAUUUUGGACAAUGGGCGCAAGCCUGAUCCAGCCAUGCCGCGUGUGGGAAGAAGGCCUUCGGGUUGUAAACCACUUUUGUCAGGGAAGAAACGGCUCUUACUAAUAUUGGGAGCUAAUGACGGUACCUGAAGAAUAAGCACCGGCUAACUACGUG
rnacentral:rRNA from 1 species